rnacentral:lncRNA from 1 species
GGAGUUUCCUUUAUUCUGCCAGUUACCUGGUGGACGACCCGACCUCCUAUUAAAACACUGUUGGUGUUUCCUUUAUUCUGCCAGUUACCUGGUGGUUGGUGGAGGACCUGGAGUUUCCUUUAUUCUGCCAGUUACCUGGUGGACGACCCGACCUCCUAUUAAAACACUGUUGGAGUUUCCUUUAUUCUGCCAGUUACCUGGUGGUUGGUGGAGGACCUGGAGUUUCCUUUAUUCUGCCAGUUACCUGGUGGAGGACCCGACCUCCUAUUAAAACACUUUAUGUUGCUGUUUCCUUCACAAGGUUCAUUUCCAUCUUGCUGUUUGUUGAAAGGUCAAGAUGUUUGGAUGUGUAUUUUAUUCUUCUGAUUGUUACAGAUUGGCUAAAUGCAGACAAAAUGCAACCCAAAACAGUCUUACCACAGUGUGCUUAUUGUGUGUGUGUGUGUGUGUGUGUGUGUGUGCGUGUGCUUAUUGUGUGUGUGUGUGUGUUGCGUCAGGUCUGCUUUCACCUAGUUAUGUAUAGCUGUUGUGUUUCAAUGUCAAAGUAUUAUUCAGGUCCUGAGGGCCAAAACAUUUCUGCUUUCUCUUCCUACCUGAUGUCCCCAGGUCUGAAUGAGUCUCUCUACCUGAUGUCCCCAGGUCUGAAUGAGUCUCUCUACCUGAUGUCCCCAGGUCUGAAUGAGUCUCAGGUCUGAAUGAGUCUCUCUACCUGAUGUCCCCAGGUCUGAAUGAGUCUCUCUACCUGAUGUCCCCAGGUCUGAAUGAGUCUCUCUACCUGAUGUCCCCAGGUCUGAAUGAGUCUCUCUACCUGAUGUCCCCAGGUCUGAAUGAGUCUCUCUACCUGAUGUCCCCAGGUCUGAAUGAGUCUCUCUACCUGAUGUCCCCAGGUCUGAAUGAGUCUCUCUACCUGAUGUCCCCAGGUCUGAAUGAGUCUCUCUACCUGAUGUCCCCAGGUCUGAAUGAGUCUCUACCUGAUGUCCCCAGGUCUGAAUGAGUCUCUCUACCUGAUGUCCCCAGGUCUGAAUGAGUCUCUCUACCUGAUGUCCCCAGGUCUGAACGAGUCUCUCUACCUGAUGUCCCCAGGUCUGAACGAGUCUCUCUACCUGAUGUCCCCAGGUCUGAAUGAGUCUCUCUACCUGAUGUCCCCAGGUCUGAAUGAGUCUCUCUACCUGAUGUCCCCAGGUCUGAAUGAGUCUCAACCUGUUGUCCCCAGAUCUGAACGAGUCUCGGGUCUGAACGAGUCUCGGAUUACAGGUAGAGGAUGAGAACCAGUAGUGUUUCGUCCCUCCAGGACCAGAAAGAAAUAGCCCUUGGCUAGAUUCAAUCUGAUCCGCAGAAGAUCCGGGUUAUAGUUCACCUUUAAAAAAAACCAAAAAGGUAAUUUACGAUUGAGCCUACUGUUAACGUGGAAACUUUACCUUUUAAUAAGGUGCACAGCCGAAAAGAGGAGAUCGGAUUUGAAUCUAGGAACAGCUUCCUCCCUCCCUCCAGUCCUAACGAGGGGUGAGAGAUAUAUAUAUAUAUGGGUCCCGUGUGGCUCAGUUGGUAGAGCAUGGGUGUUUGCAACGCCAGGGUUGUGGGUUCGAUUCCCACGGGGGACCAAUACGUGGGGGGGGGGGGAAAUGUCUGAAAUGUAUGCAUUCACUACUGUAAGUCGCUCUGGAUAAGAGCGUCUGCUAAAAUAACUAAAAUGUAAAUGUUAAUAACUGAUCUAGGAUCAGUUUCCUCCCUCCAGUCCUAACAGGUCACCAUUAGAGAGGUGAUAUAUAUAUAUAUAUAACUGAUCUAGGAUCAGUCCUAACGGGUCACCAUUAGAGAGGUGAUAUAUAUAACUGAUCUAGGAUCAGUCCUAACAGGUCACCAUUAGAGAGGUGAUAUAUAUAUAUAACUGAUCUAGGAUCAGUCCUAACAGGUCACCAUUAGAGAGGUGAUAUAUAUAUAUAACUGAUCUAGGAUCAGUCCUAACAGGUCACCAUUAGAGAGGUGAUAUAUAUAUAUAUAUAUAUAUAUAUAACUGAACUAGGACCAGUGUUAAACAGAGCUGAAUGUCUGUCUGGUUCAUACCAUUUAUGAUGCUGA